rnacentral:snRNA from 1 species
CAGCCUGCCCACCCUGGAAACGG